rnacentral:lncRNA from 1 species
UUGCAAGGAAAAGCAGUAUGGAAACCCUAAUUACAUCAACAAUUACAUAAUUCUUAACGGUAGGUUAAAAUGAAUAUCGUUUAAAAGCGUAAGAGCUUCGGGGCUUCAAACUCUGCGUUUCUUCAGCACAUAUACAGUUCUCUCGUAACUAGCUACCAUCCAUCGAUUCAAAUCAACUUCGAGUUUCAAAACAUCAUCCACACUCAUAAAAACCAAUCAAGAACUCCAAUUAAUUUUCAGGAAUGAAAAAUUACGACAUAAUUAAAUUAAUCCAUCAACGCAAUUUAAUCAUAUUGCAGAGAUUGAAAACGCAUGUUAUAUACAAACUAUUCACUAAAUAACUGAACUUAGAAAAUUUUUCUAAAAACUUUCCUGUUAUUCAAACAACAAUACCAAUCCAAAGCCUAGCAACUACCCAGUUAUCAAAUAUUUAACUGAUAAUCUUACUAAUCAUAGCUUGGGAAGUUAAAGCUAAACUCACCUGAGAUUGGUAUCAUCUAAUUCUUCACUUUUUUAGUUUCUCCAAUUUUCUUUCUUUCCGAACACUUUUUUUUACCUCCUCUUUUUUCCCUCCUCCGGAAGCAAACGAAGGGAAUUUGUAUAUAUAUAUAGUGAAAAUUUU